rnacentral:rRNA from 1 species
CCCGUUGUACACACCGCCCGUCACGCCAUGGAAGUUGGGGGGACCGUGAAGCCGGUGGGCUAACCCGCAAGGGAGGCAGCCGUCAAAGGUCAAUCCAAUGACUGGGGCG